UCUGCCUUUUUCUUCUAAACACAACCUUUUG
rnacentral:piRNA from 1 species